rnacentral:lncRNA from 1 species
CCGCCAUGGGCCUGCGCCGCCUCGGGACCGGGGUCAGGGAGCUCCUGCCUGCCUGGAUGAAGAGGAGGUCAAGACUUUGUCCCCCACUCCGCAAGAUACCCUCUCUGUUCCGGAGCGGUGAGACAGGAUUUCACCAUGUUAGCCAGGAUGGUCUUGAUCUCCUGACCUCAUGAUCUGCCCACCUCGGCCUCCCAAAGUGCUGGGCUUACAGGCGUGAGCCACCGUGCCCGGCCAAAAAUAACUUUUAAAAACAUGAGUAUAGCAUACACACACACAAAAGUCCACAAAUCCUAGGUGUACCACUUGAUGAAUGAUCCCAACGUGAGCACACCUCUGGAUUACCACCUGGAUCAAGAAAUAGGACAUCACAGCAGCUGGCAGCUUCCAAGGAGAAGCUCUGGAAAGUUCUGCCUGUCUCAGCACCUGGCUGGAUCGGAAACGAGUUUUCUUUAACCAGAUUUUUAAUGACUGACUUAUGUGGACAAAUCAUAACUGAAUGAAUCACCUCCUUUGUUGAUUUUUUUGGGUACUUUAUUUGCUAUUAUAAAUGAUGCUGUAAUAAGCACCCUUGAAGAAAUCUUCAUAUCUGCCUCUCCUGUGUAGCAGGUCACAGUGCCUGGGUUUGGUUCUAGCCCUCAUUUGUGAACUGUGUGACUCACCAUGCCUUUUUUCUUUCUGUAAGACAGGAAUAAUGGUAAGAAUUUAAAUGGGGGUAAUAUGGAGCGCGUUUAGUUCAGAGCCUGGUGCAUACAAGCACUCAAUAAGUACUGGCGAUUAUUAGACCUUUAGAUUAAUUUAUUAGAAGUUGGAUUUCUGGUGAAAGGGUUUGAGUGUUUUUGAGGCUUUGGCACAGAAUACCCAGCUGGUCCCAGAAAGGUGGUUCCCAUUUACCUGCCCGAAGGUAAUUCACCCUUACUGAUACUGAGUACUGUUUUCUAAAAGAACAUUAAAAAUUGGAUAGGUUAAAAACAGGUGAAUACAUUUUUUUAGUUGCAUUUUUUUGGUUACCCGUGAGAGUGAACAUGUUGCCAUGUGUUUGCUGACCUCCUAAAUGGUCUAUUUGCUCCUACCUUUGUACCCCAAAAGUCUGCUCUCAAGAUGGUAGCCAGAAUGAUCCUUUUUGAGACAUAAGUCAAAAUUUCACUCUUCUCCUUAAAGCUCUGCAAUGGUUCUCAGGUUAAAAGCCAAAGUCCUGUUCAAGGCCUCCAGGGUCCUCACCACUUGGUCCCUUGCUCUUUCUGUUCUAGCCAACUUGGCCUUCUCCUGCCCCUCCGCCGCACCAUGGCAAUUUCCCCUGCUCUGUGUGGUCAACUACCUGAAUCUGUUCAAAGCUUUGCUCAAAUGUCUCCUUCCUGAUGAGACCUCCCCAGCCCCUGAGCUCCCCAUGCCUCACUCCUGAUCGCCUUACUUAACCCUUCUUUUUCUUUUUUGCCAGUAGUACUUAUCACCGUCUAAAAUACUUCAUAAUUUACUUGUUUAUUGUUUGCCCCUCUCCAAUAGAAUGUAAGCUCCUUGGGGCAGGGACCUUUGUCCUUUGUCUUGUUCACUGCUGUGUCCCAUGUGUAAACUUGUCUGGCACAGAAGAGGUGCUCGAUAAAUAUUUGUUGAGUGAAUGAAUGGUAAAUUUUCUGUUCAUAUUCUUUGACUAUUUUCUAUUGUAAUGUUCAUCUUUUUAGUAUUGGUUUAUAAGAUGUAUAUUUAGCACCUUUUCAUAUAUCACUCUUUGUCACAUAUUAUGCAACUAAUUUGUCAUUUCCAUCAAUUUUUAAAAUACUUUCUUGAUGCUUCAUUUUUAAGCUGUCAGAUUAUUAAUCUUUUCUUUAUGGUCUUGGACUUUAUUGUUGCAUAACCGCUGCCUUCACCAGGAACAUAUAAAUUUUCAAUUAAAUGUUCUUCUGAGAUUUUAUGAUUUCACUUUUUAUAUUAAACUCUUCAUUUUGUCUUCAUGUGUGGUGAGAGGUAAGAACAUAACUUUAAAGCAAAUUAACCAACUAUCCCCAAAUGAAUUAUAAAUAAAUUAAUCAUUUUCCAAUGAUCUGAAAGGCCAUUUUAUCAUACACUAAAUAUUUUUGUGUGUUUGACUGGGUUUACCGUUCUGUUCCGUUGGCCUAUCACAUCGUUCUUACAUUGGUAUUUGUUGCCCUAUUUUAAUGAUUGUAACUUUUUAAUAAGGGUUAAUGACUGAGAAUACAAGUCCCAUUGUUUUGUUUUAUUAUUUUUAUUAUUUUUUUGAGACAGGGUUUCACUCUGUCACCCAGGCUGGAGUAUAGUAGCACUAUCUCGGCUCAUUGCAACCUCUGCCUCCCUGGUUCAAGUGAUUCUCCCACCUCAACCUCCCGAGUAGCUGGGACUACAGAUGCAUGCCACCACACCCAGCUAAUUCUUGUAUUUUUAGUAGAGACAGGGUUUCACCAUGUUGACCAGGCUGGUCUUGAACUCCUGGCUUCAAGUGAUUCACCUGCCUCGACCUCCCAAAGUGCUGGGAUUACAGGCGUGACUCACCACGCCUGGCCCAUUUUUUUCUUUUGAGGUGUUCUUUGUGGCAAUUCAUAUAUUCUUUAAGAUAAAUUCUAAACUUUUUUUUUCUGCCGAGAUAAACUAGCAGACAAAUCCCACUGGACAUUGCAAUUGGAUUAGUUUUGUAGAUUAAUUUAGUGAUAAUCAACUUCUUUGCACCAUUGAGUGCUUCUGUCCGGGAACGUGGCAUAUCUUUCUAUUAUUAAGGUCUUUUUUAUUAUAGGUCUUUAGGGAAGCUUUAUUUUAUAGAUGAAUGUAGUGUGUUUGGUGCUUAUUUUCAUAAAAUAAAGCAAUGACAUCUGUGGCAGGCAGCUUCUGAAAUGGCUCCCAAUGAUCCUUACCUUCUGAUAGUCACCCCCUUGGAGAAUCCCUUUCCUUUGUGUGUGGGCUGGAUCUAGUGACUUGCUUCUCAUAAAUAGAAUAUGGCAAAAAAUGAUGGGUUGUUACUUCUGAGAUUAGGUUAUAAGAGGCGAAUUUCUGUUUUGCUGUAAUUUUGUCUCUCUAACCCUCUUGCUUUCCUGUGCUCAUGAAACCAGCUGCUGUGUUGUGAGCCACCUUAUGGAAAACCCAUGUGGCAGAGAACCGAGGGUGGUGGCUGGCCAACAGCAAGCCAGGAGCUGAGGCCCACAGUCCAACAACUGAGACUGGGUCCCACCAUAUUGCCUGGGCUGGCCUCGGACUCUUGACCCCAAGUGAUCCUCUGGCCUCAGCCUCCCAAGCAGCUGGAUUUACAGGCAGGCACCACCGCACCGAGCUAAAAACGCCUGGCUUCCCUGGGCCUGCUGCACCUGCUCUGGCUAGGUUGGAGAGGGCUGCAGGGAGGACCGCAGUCAGCAGAGGGCGCCAAAGCCUCUCAACACAAGCAUGGCCCAGGCCUGGCCCAGAAGGAGAGCGCUGAGAGCCAGGACUGGCGGGCUACGUGCGCCCUGUGGAUUCCCCCAUUUCCCAUGCUUCAUCCAGCCAUGGGCCUGCAGUGCACUCACAAAUGUGCAUAUACCCUCCUGUGUGUGUGUUACACUCAUCAAAUUGUCUCUGAAUUUGCUUGGCUUCAUGUGUUCCUGUGUGUGUUUAUGUGUGUGUGUGGUGUGUCUGGUGUAUCUGGUUCCCCAGGAAGCACAUUUGACAGCCCCACAGUCAGGGUCAGGGCACAGGGACAGAUACUGUGUCUAUAACAAUCCAUAACACUGAUUUUGUUCAUCUCAAUAAAUGUGAGAAUGAAAUAAAAAUUAAUGUAGAAUAUUUUGUACAUCUCAAUAAAGCCACUUUCUGGGGGCAGGCAUUAUAAUUCUAGCCUCUGUUCUACUGUUUGAUAGGUAAAGAAUAACUUUCCACAUAGGGAGAGGAAUGGACAGCUACCCAGCCCUCCCACUGUUACAGGCCUGGGCUAGAAGCUUUCCAUCUAGGCUCCUGGUUG